AUUGUGCUCACGGAUUUUUUAAUGGAUUGGACAAGAAAUAUAGAAAAAUAAUGAAAAAUAUAAACAGUUACAAUAGAAAUGAGCGCAAAACAAGAUAAACAGAAUACAACAAGGCCUAAAUGGUCAGAUAUCUUGGUUUUUAUGAUCAUCAACAGGUCCUGCAGGUCUAUACUGAAGAGGAAUUUUAAUUGUUAAUACUUUUCUACAUAAUGUGCUAAUUGGAUUACUAAUGUGAAAUGAACUCAACUGUGUGUUUUUCUGGAAAAAGAAAUAGAAAAAAAUCCUACAAAAUUGCUAUAAACAAAAUGGAGUACUAUCAAAGAACACAAUUGUGUAAAAUGUAACAACCUACAUUCAUAUUCACUGAUGGAUUAUGGAGAAAUUAAGAAAAAUAAUAGUGUCUUUGUCAUGUUUGUUGUCGAAAUAAACACCUGCUUUAUCCAUUCAUGUACAUGACUCCAUCAUAUCAAAUAUACAAAGAAGAUGUUUGAAGAACAUGUUGCAAAAAAUUUAUUCAACAAAUUGAAGGAAGAUGUCUUGUGGAUUGAAUUAUUUAUGCACUGAACUGUUAUGUAGGGGGUUGAAUACACAGCAGCUGUAACAGAAGACAAGUUAAUUUGACAUGAAAAGUGUUUAUUUUAUUUAAUAUUCAAAUAUGAGCACAAUAUUAAUAACAUCACAAAUGGUAUGCUAUUAAUAGCGUU